CACGAUCCCCAGCCCCAAAAUGGAGUAGGCCUCACUGUCACCAUCUUGUUCUUCACCACCGCACAGGUGGUGGCCAUGGUCGACAGUCUGCCAAUUGUGUGUUCUAGAGCAACUGAGCAGGACGAUGAUGUAUCCACUUCAGAGCCAACUUGAAUUUGUUGUUCUAAUCUAAAGGACAGAAGAUCCCAGCUACCCAGCAAAAGGUUUUUUAAAUUGAGCAUGCAGUCAAGGGAUGUGAAAGACAUACUGCUAUGGCACUUGGUUCUACACGCUUCAAUUGAAGUGGUAUGCUUAUCGUUUAAAGGAAAAGCUCUCAUGCAUCAGCCUUCUCUGCACACAUUUUCCAGAGAUAUCCUAAGUACUUGCCAUCUGUGACAUGGGCAUUUCUUCGAAUGUGUGCUUACGACCUGGCUUCUCUUCUGCUAUAACAAGGAUCUCACAUGAGGGUAGAUGAAAGCUCCCACCUUAUGGCUUACACAAACGAACAAGUGUGUUUCUGUGAGGUUGCAUGAUUAAUCAUAGACACACUUUUGUGAGACGAGGCUUUGCUGAGCAAAGAGGGAGAUGAAGUUUGAAUACAAUUGUUUUGUUUUUAGUCGAAUGUUCUUUUUACU